AAAGGAAUAGACGGGGACCCGCACAAGCAGCGGAGCAUGUGGUUUAAUUCGAAGCAACGCGAAGAACCUUACCUAGACUUGACAUGUCCUGAAUUACCAGUAAUGUGGGAAGUCUCUUCGGAGACAGGAACACAGGUGGUGCAUGGUUGUCGUCAGCUCGUGUCGUGAGAUGUUGGGUUAAGUCCCGCAACGAGCGCAACCCUUAUUGUUAGUUGGUACCAUUAAGUUGACCACUCUAGCGAGACUGCCCGGGUUAACCGGGAGGAAGGUGGGGAUGACGUCAAAUCAUCAUGCCCCUUAUGUCUAGGGCUACACACGUGCUACAAUGGCAAGUACAAAGAGAUGCAAUACCGCGAGGUGGAGCCAAACUCAAAAACUUGUCUCAGUUCGGAUUGUAGGCUGAAACUCGCCUACAUGAAGCUGGAGUUGCUAGUAAUCGCGAAUCAGCAUGUCGCGGUGAAUACGUUCCCGGGUCUUGUACACACCGCCCGU
rnacentral:rRNA from 1 species